GAUGAAGAACGUAGCGAAAUGCGAUAAGUAAUGUGAAUUGCAGAAUUCAGUGAAUCAUCGAAUGUUUGAACGCACCUUGCGCCCUUUGGACUUCUGAAGGGCAUGCCUGUUUGAGUAUCAUGAACACCUCAACUCGUUAUGGUCUUCCAUGAUGAGCUUGGACUUUGGGGGUUUUGCUGGCCUACAGUCAGCUCCUCUAAAAUAAAUCAGCUUACCGGUGUUUGGUGGGUAUCAUGGGUGUGAUAACUAUCUACGCUCGUGGUUUUCCACCAGGUAACCUUCAGCAGUGGAGGUCCACUGGAGCUCAUAGAUGUCUCUCCUCAGCGAGGACAGCCCUUUGAAUGUUUGAUCUCAAAUCAGGUAGGACUACCCGCUGAACUUAAGCAUAUCAAUAAGCGGAGGA
rnacentral:misc_RNA from 1 species